GAGAGACAUAAGAUUGCCAUCUGU
rnacentral:siRNA from 1 species